GGGGACUCGAACUGAUUAGAGAACUACAGCUGACAAACUUUAUAUUAUACUACUUAAACAAGAUUUGUGGUUUUGAUAAUACAAUUUGGUUUAUGAUAAGAAAUAAUAAGAUGUGCAUUCCUCUAAGGGGAUGUUUGGUUGGGUCUACAAGGAUAAUGUUGAUCUGGUCUAUUAGUAAUGAUUGUAUUAGUUAUGCUGAGAUUAAUGU
rnacentral:misc_RNA from 1 species